UCCCUGCUAGUAUAUCGGUUUAGUACACGCGCCUGUCACUAACUGACGAUCCGCGCGAGAGCUGGGUUCGACUCCCAGGCGGGGAG